rnacentral:rRNA from 1 species
CCUACGGGCGACAGCAGUGAGGAAUAUUGGUCAAUGGACGAGAGUCUGAACCAGCCAAGUAGCGUGAAGGAUGACUGCCCUAUGGGUUGUAAACUUCUUUUAUAUGGGAAUAAAAUGUUCCACGUGUGGGAUUUUGUAUGUACCAUAUGAAUAAGGAUCGGCUAACUCCGUGCCAGCAGCCGCGGUAAUACGGAGGAUCCGAGCGUUAUCCGGAUUUAUUGGGUUUAAAGGGAGCGUAGGUGGAUUGUUAAGUCAGUUGUGAAAGUUUGCGGCUCAACCGUAAAAUUGCAGUUGAAACUGGCAGUCUUGAGUACAGGAGAGGUGGGCGGAAUUCGUGGUGUAGCGGUGAAAUGCUUAGAUAUCACGAAGAACUCCGAUUGCGAAGGCAGUUCACUGGACUGCAACUGACACUGAGGCUCGAAAGUGUGGGUAUCAAACAGGAUUAGAUACCCUUGUAGUC